AAAUUUUUUCUCUCUAAUGUCACAGAUCCGAGGCCAAGUUUAUCAAGAAGAUUGUCAAAGAGGUUAGCAAAGUGUUAACCACCAUUCAAUCUGAUGAAGGAUGAGAAGACGAUUGCGUGAAGAAGAUGACAGCACAUAACUUCCCGCUGGUUCUGCCAUGGUCAUGGUUUGGCUCGGCGGUUGGUUUGAUAGGUGCACUGUUUAUAGGGUUCGGGUUAUUGGCUGACACUGUACACAGGUGUGCCUCACCAGCCAUGGUUUCUCUUGCUUGUCAGGCUUGGUCUGUUGUGGCAAUUUCGAGUCUUUGGUCUGAUAGAUCUCUUUGAAGCAGAAAGUGAUUUUGUUUUGAUUGGUCUCUCUGUUUUUGUGGAUUCAGUUGCUUAUGUAAAUAAACCAAAUUUCCUUGAGUUCUCUUAUGUAUAACCAAUACAUGUACAACCAUCUGUUCUUUGAAUUUCCAUCUCCAGAAUAUGCACUAGUUUCGAAUUGAGUUGCUAUGGGAAAACAAGAGAAUAUGAAUAAGUAACUCUUCAGUCUCUACCAGUUUGAAGUGGAGCAUUUGAGCACCAAGGUGCUAGCAGGGCUAAGGGAUUGUAUAGCACAUUACGCUUUGUUCAACAUAUUAUGUUAGUUACUACAAGAAAGUUGAACAGAAGUAAACGGGAUGCUCUUUUGCUGGUAAAGCUACCUUUCUUUGCAAAAUGGCGAUAUCGGCUUUCAGCUGGAAAGAAAAGCACCCAAUUUUCUG